rnacentral:rRNA from 1 species
CCUACGGGUGGCAGCAGUGAGGAAUAUUGGUCAAUGGCCGGAAGGCUGAACCAGCCAUGCCGCGUGAAGGUCAGUGCCCUAUGGGCGUUAAACUUCUUUUGUGCGGGAGCAAUAAUGGUCACGUGUGGCCAGACGAGAGUACCGUACGAAUAAGCAUCGGCUAACUCCGUGCCAGCAGCCGCGGUAAUACGGAGGAUGCGAGCGUUAUCCGGAUUCAUUGGGUUUAAAGGGUGCGCAGGCGGGCCUUUAAGCCGGCGGUGAAAUCGCGGGGCUCAACCCCGCCGAGCCGUCGGAACUGGGGGCCUUGAGUGCGGCGGAGGCAUGCGGAAUGCGCGGUGUAGCGGUGAAAUGCAUAGAUAUCGCGCAGAACCCCGAUUGCGAAGGCAGCGUGCCGUGCCGCCACUGACGCUGAGGCACGAAAGCGCGGGGAUCGAACAGGAUUAGAUACCCCAGUAGUC